AAUGCGUAGAUAUCAGGAGGAACACCAGUGGCGAAGGCGGCUUUCUGGUCCGGAAUUGACGCUGAUGUACUAAAGCGUGGGGUAGCAAACAGGAUUAGAUACCCUGGUAGUCCACGCCCUAAACGAUGUAUACUCGAUGUCGGGAUGUUCGGUCGUCUCGGUGUCGUAGCUAACGUGUUAAGUAUACCGCCUGGGGACUACGGUCGCAAGACUGAAACUCAAAGGAAUUGACGGGGGCCCGCACCAGCGGUGGAACAUGUGGUUUAAUUCGAUGCAACGCGAAGAACCUUACCUGGGCUUGACAUAUGUAUGAAGUAUGUAAGAAAUUAUGUAUUCUGUCUGAUUUUUCAGACAGCAUAUAUACAGGUGAUGCAUGGCUGUCGUCAGCUCGUGUCGUGAGAUGUAGGGUUAAGUCCCUUAACGAGCGCAACCCUUACUUUUAGUUGCCAUCAGGUAAAGCUGGGGACCAUAGAAGGACUGCCGAGGUUAACUCGGAGGAAGGUGGGGAUGACGUCAAGUCAGUAUGUCCCUUAUGUCCAGGGCUACACACGUGUUACAAUGGCCGGUACAGAGUGCCGCGAAGCCGCGAGGUGAAGCAAAUCACUCAAAGCCGGUCCCAGUUCGGAUUGGAGUCUGCAAUUCGACUCCAUGAAGUUGGAAUCGCUAGUAAUCGCAGAACAGCACGCUGCGGUGAUACGUUCCCGGCCAUUGUACACACCGCCCGUCACGCCAUGGAAGUUG
rnacentral:rRNA from 1 species